rnacentral:miRNA from 1 species
AAAGGCUGAGUUGUGAGACUGC